UACGGAGGGUGCAAGCGUUGUCCGGAUUUAUUGGGUUUAAAGGGUGCGUAGGCGGUCUUUUAAGUCAGUGGUGAAAGCCUCCAGCUUAACUGGAGAACUGCCAUUGAUACUGGAAGACUUGAGUACAGACGAGGUAGGCGGAAUUGACAGUGUAGCGGUGAAAUGCAUAGAUAUUGUCAAGAACACCGAUUGCGAAGGCAGCUUACUAGACUGUAACUGACGCUGAGGCACGAAAAGUGUGGGGAUCAAACAGG
rnacentral:rRNA from 1 species